GAAGUGUGGACGCCAGUCUGCAUGGAGCCGACCUUGAAAUACCACCCUUUAAUGUUUGAUGUUCUAACGUUGACCCGUAAUCCGGGUUGCGGACAGUGUCUGGUGGGUAGUUUGACUGGGGCGGUCUCCUCCUAAAGAGUAACGGAGGAGCACGAAGGUUGGCUAAUCCUGGUCGGACAUCAGGAGGUUAGUGCAAUGGCAUAAGCCAGCUUGACUGCGAGCGUGACGGCGCGAGCAGGUGCGAAAGCAGGUCAUAGUGAUCCGGUGGUUCUGAAUGGAAGGGCCAUCGCUCAACGGAUAAAAGGUACUCCGGGGAUAACAGGCUGAUACCGCCCAAGAGUUCAUAUCGACGGCGGUGUUUGGCACCUCGAUGUCGGCUCAUCACAUCCUGGGGCUGAAGUAGGUCCCAAGGGUAUGGCUGUUCGCCAUUUAAAGUGGUACGCGAGCUGGGUUUAGAACGUCGUGAGACAGUUCGGUCCCUAUCUGCC
rnacentral:rRNA from 1 species